rnacentral:rRNA from 1 species
CGCCGGCGACCGGCGCACGGGUGAGUAACACGUAUGCGACCUGCCCCCCGCAGGGGGAUAACCGGGAGAAAUCCCGACUAAUACCGCGUAACGCCGCGGACCUGCAUGGGUCUGCGGCCAAAGGAAGCGAUUCCGGCGGGGGAUGGGCAUGCGGCGCAUUAGGCAGUAGGCGGGGUAACGGCCCACCUAACCGACGAUGCGUAGGGGUUCUGAGAGGAAGGUCCCCCACACUGGUACUGAGACACGGACCAGACUCCUACGGAAGGCAGCAG